CUGCAGUUCGUACGCCUGGCGGCAGAGGGCGCUGCUGAUCCCAGAGACUGUGACGCGGCGGCUAAAGAAUAGUAGAAAUAGUGAUAGCUAGUCCAUUGCAGUUCUUUCUAAUGUUGUUUAGCAUCAUUUUCUAAAUGGAGCAUUUUGUGUCUUAACUCGGGAAUUUGUGGAGAAACGUCUGUGGCAGAGGUUUCCAUGGAGACGGAGAGGCUUUUAAACCUGAAGUCAGAAAAGGAAAACAACACAGUUUUCUUCAGAAGGAGCAGCAAAGACGUCAUCUAAACGAAAUCGAACCGGCUGCUUCUGCAGAACCCGACCGGCUGAAGAAAAGGAUGCAGAAAAAGAGAAUCGGAUGGGAAGAAAAAAUUCACCCUGACAUCAUAGGAGCAGCAUCUGUCCAGCUGUUCUCAUUGUUCCUCUGUCACCACGACCCCCCCCACUUAAUUCCAGCUGUGGGACGCCCGGAGCCGGCACCCCGCCCCCCCCUUCCUGGGCGCUCACACACAGCUGCGUGGCACGUGGCGGCGGUGGCGGCAGAGGAUGGACGGAAGGAUGGAGAUGAAUGAGGAAGAUGCCCCAAA